AAUGCCCCUUGAGGCGUUGCAGCCCAACUGCUGGUGUUGCAGCUGUGUCAUAAGGUGGCAGAGAGAGACUGGUGGCGGUCUGCACCGAGACUCUACAAUAGAGGACUUGGAGUGAUUCUCACCACCAACAUU